AGAUGGUAAUCCGACGUAUAAGUAAUGGGCUGUUUUAUUCUUGGUGCUUUCAAGACCUGAUGUUUUGUUUUGAACAGGUUGAUACAUUUAGGCGUGAAAUACAUCACCCCUUUCCCUGCUCCUGCCACCAUUAAAAUUGUGUUUGGCAUCUGACCACCAAGAUAGAGACAUUUCCUAGACUGUUUUGCAGCUAGGUACUUAGAAGUUUUUCUAAGUUAUUUAAACUUCUUACCACACAAAAUCUGGAUUUGUAUCUGUCAUGUAAUAAUUGCUUGAUAAAUCAUUUCUCUUUCCUCUGGAGAAAAAUAUCUGCUUUCUGUAAAAUAAAUGUUCCGUCCAUGCAGCUAAGCAGCUAAGGACACAAACAGCCACUGAUACAGGCCAACUUAUCAGUAGAUUAUUGAGAUUUCAUACUAACACCUUUCAUUGGCUGAACAAAGACAAAGACAGAAAUCAAGGAAGGUCAAAGGAGCAGUCAGUUUUUUGGUACCCAAAGUUGUUGGAGAAGGGUACAGAGUUGGUAAAUAAGUCAUUUGAAAGACAGGCAGUAUAAUCUUAUUUUAAUAACAAGUUUAAAAAUCCCACUUCUUGUACUUACCUUCUGUCUGAUGUUAUCAGUAUUUUAAGAUGCCAACUGGGAUCAAGUUCAACACUACAUUACUGAAGAAUCCAGAUUAUCUACAUUUCACUUGCCAAAUGAAAGAAAGAACCCAGAAAAUAAAACAAUAUGAUGAUAACAGUAAAAUUUUUUAAAAUAAAA